AGAGUUUGAUCCUGGCUCAGAGCGAACGCUGGCGGCAGGCUUAACACAUGCAAGUCGAGCGGGCACUUCGGUGUCAGCGGCAGACGGGUGAGUAACACGUGGGAACGUACCCUUCGGUUCGGAAUAACGCUGGGAAACUAGCGCUAAUACCGGAUACGCCCUUUUGGGGAAAGGUUUACUGCCGAAGGAUCGGCCCGCGUCUGAUUAGCUAGUUGGUGGGGUAACGGCCUACCAAGGCGACGAUCAGUAGCUGGUCUGAGAGGAUGAUCAGCCACACUGGGACUGAGACACGGCCCAGACUCCUACGGGAGGCAGCAGUGGGGAAUAUUGGACAAUGGGCGCAAGCCUGAUCCAGCCAUGCCGCGUGAGUGAUGAAGGCCUUAGGGUUGUAAAGCUCUUUUGUCCGGGACGAUAAUGACGGUACCGGAAGAAUAAGCCCCGGCUAACUUCGUGCCAGCAGCCGCGGUAAUAC
rnacentral:rRNA from 1 species